CAGCCGCCACGGGAAUACAGAGGGUGCGAGCGUUAAUCGGAUUUACUGGGCGUAAAGCGUGCGUAGGCGGCUUCUUAAGUCGGAUGUGAAAUCCCUGAGCUUAACUUAGGAAUUGCAUUCGAUACUGGGAAGCUAGAGUAUGGGAGAGGAUGGUUGAAUUCCAGGUGUAGCGGUGAAAUGCGUAGAGAUCUGGAGGAAUACCGAUGGCGAAGGCAGCCAUCUGGCCUAAUACUGACGCUGAGGUACGAAAGCAUGGGGAGCAAACAGGAUUAGAUACCCGUGUAGUCCCUGUCUCUUAUAC
rnacentral:rRNA from 1 species